AGCAGCCGCGGUAAUUCCAGCUCCAAUAGCGUAUAUUAAAGUUGUUGCAGUUAAAAAGCUCGUAGUUGAAUUUCGGGAUUGGCGCAUCGGUCGUGCCUCACGGGGUAUGAACUGGUGCAGUCAAUUUCUCACCUUCUGGAGAACCGCGAUGUCCUUAAUUGGAUGCCGCGGGGAACCAGGACCUUUACUUUGAAAAGAUUAGAGUGUUUAAAGCAGGCAUUUUUGCUUGAAUACAUUAGCAUGGAAUAAUAAAAUAGGACGGCAUGGUUCUAUUUUGUUGGUUUCUAGGACCACCGUAAUGAUUAAUAGGGAUAGUUGGGGGCAUUAGUAUUCAAUUGUCAGAGGUGAAAUUCUUGGAUUUAUUGAAGACUAACUACUGCGAAAGCAUUUGCCAAGGAUGUUUUCAUUAAUCAAGAACGAAAGUUAGGGGAUCGAAGACGAUCAGAUACCGUCGUAGUCUUAACCAUAAACUAUGCCGACUAGGAAUCAGACGAUGUUAAUUUUUAAUGUACUCGUUUGG
rnacentral:rRNA from 1 species